GACGAACGCUGGCGGCGUGCUUAACACAUGCAAGUCGAACGAUGAUGCCCUAGCUUGCUGGGGUGGAUUAGUGGCGAACGGGUGAGUAACACGUGAGUAACCUGCCCUCUUCUUCGGGAUAAGCUUGGGAAACUGGGUCUAAUACUGGAUAUUCUCCAAUUGUCGCAUGGUGGUUGUGGAAAAGAUUUUCUGGUGGGGGUUGGGGUCGGGGUCUGUCAGCUUGUUGGUGGGGUGAUGGCUUGCCAAGGCGUCGACGGAUGGUCGGACUGAGAGGGGGACCGGCAACGCUGCGACGGAGAUGCGGACCAGACUACGACGGGGGGCCGUAGUGGGGACAAUAGCAGAAUGGGUGCAAGCUUGAUGCAGCGACGGCGCGUGAGGGAUGACGGCUUUCAGGUUGUCAACCUCUUUCGAUAGAGCACCAGGCUAUAAUGUUGUGUGGUUGAGGGUACCUGUAAAAGAAGCACCGGCUAACUACGUG
rnacentral:rRNA from 1 species